GCACGGCGGGGUAGUAUUGAACUCGGGGACCCCGUUGUUCCAAGUUUUUACGCUAGAAUAAAAAGGUACGUAACACUGCCCAAGUCACAGACGCUCUCUUUGUUUGACCACAAAACAAGCUCUCUCUUCCCAAAAUGACGCGAGGAUUUAUAUGCACUUGCACAAUCGCAUUUAUAUUUCUGGUGGUGGAAUCACAUUCUACUUUGAAGGUAAUGCAUGAGAAUAAACUGAAUGCAAACAACUGGGGCCCACAGUCAAUGAUGUACCUGAAAGGAAAAUAUGGCAGAAGAUUGGCACCUGACUAUGAUUGGAAUGGUAUAUAUAAUUUAGGCUUGAAAGGCUGGUACACAGCUCUGAAAGGAUUCCAGAGGUUGAGACCUGCAGGAGUGAGGAAAGGCAGGCGAAUGCUCCAGGCUGAAAACACGCAGUAACGGUGGAUGCCUGGAGCAGAGCUCGAUCGUAACUGAAGUCUUCGUGUGCAAACGCGCUCCAGCAUCACCGAAUAUAAAGGCUGCACAAAAAAUAUUUCCAUGUGAUCUUGGACAUUUAUUCAGAGGAAUAAUGAUUUAUAUACACAAAAUAUUUUUUACUGUAUGUCACUUGUCUUUUCUCCAGUAGUGUACGCCUGUACUGCUCU